rnacentral:tRNA from 2 species
GGCCCCGUCGUCUAGCGGCCCAGGACGCCGCCCUCUCAAGGCGGUAGCGCGGGUUCAAAUCCCGUCGGGGCUA